CGCGAACUCUGCAGUAGCCAACGUAUAUUGUGUUUUGGAUCUCAAGUCUCUUCAAUAUGUCGGGAGGAGCUGGACUUGUAAUAUUACUUGGCGCGUUUGCUUUCUCUGUGUUCUGGACAACGAAGUUUCUGUCGGAGAUUUACACAGCCACUGCUACCACUACGAGCACACCUCACGCUUAUUCAUCAAAUGGGUCGGCAUACACGUUGCCUGGAGAGUUCGUAGAAUAUUCCGAAUAACGAAUUAUUGGAUGUAUUUUGUUUAUAUUGACGUCAGUAAUGAUGUUUGCACUAUAUUUAAUUGGUCAAGACGUGCGCAGAAUGUUAAAAAAGUCAUUGGAUGGAGAAGAAGAAUAUGGAUAUAUGGAAUAUGUUGGACACUUUGCCAAUGAAAGUAUGAGUGACCCAAUCACGUAGCGAUAAGGGAAUUUGAUGGUAGCCGACUUAGACAAUAAAGGAAAGAACCUUCGUCCAUAUUUGGAUACAAUUUAAUCUUACUCUGAUUUAUAAUUUUUAAUUUGUGAUAUCGAUUUUUCUGAUUCGAAAUUCAAUAUAGAAUAUUCUAUGACAAGCACAUCCCCGGAAAGCUAAAACUGGAAUGGCGCAUUUUAAAAAGAUAUGAAAUAAUGCAUCGAUAGCUGGGUAUAGGUUUGUAAAAGAGACAGGCAGGUUAAAUAUAAAGAAACUAAUUAUUUUAUGCAUUGAUUUAAUAGUAUGUACAAAUAACUUAUAAAUCUAAACAAAUA